UGGCGAAGAUGGUUUACUGAAGCAUUAUGCAUAGCUGGUUACUGGAAUACGAGAUGUUUAUGUAGUUUUGGUUUGAUGUUUCAGGGACUUAAUUUUAGCAUUAUUGAUAAAUUCCUCUCAGUGGACCAAAUUUCAUUAUUGGAAGGGCUGUUGUUAUCCAUGCCGAUCCUGAUGACCUCAAAAAGAGAUGCUGGAACAGUCAGCUCUCAUCCACUAGCUGUUGGAGAGGAUGUACAGGAGUAGGAGAAAGAUGAAGAGGAUGAUGGAAGAGGAUGAGG